CUACACUACAAGGAGGCAGCAGUAUGUUGUAUGAGUAAUGGACUAGAAUAUUGCAUAUUUAAGAUGCAGUAUCCUUUUUUGCAUGGUUUCUCUUUUGCCUGCUGAGCUAAAAAUCUUUCGGCAUGGAUUUUUAAAUCUUCUCUCUCCCGUAACUGAACUUCUUCCUCUGAGUCAUUCUUCUCAGAAGUGUGUGUAUAGUGUGGAACCUACAAGACUCAGCUGGAUUAUUUGCUCUUUGGCCAGAGAAGCAAAGCAGUGAAAAACGGGAGUCCAGCCAAAGCUGAGCAUUGCAAAUUGAACACUGGACAGACAGACGGGAUAGAGAGUUAAAUAAAACACAGUGAGUAUCUAAAUGCUGCAGCUUUAACCUUACAUCUCUCUUUUUAAACCGUUUCUUCGUGAACUGCACCUGACUGCUCCGUGAACUGCUCCACUGACAUUUCAGCAGCCUAUGAUUUAUGUGACAGACAGCUCCAAGUGUGUCAGUGAUUAUUUCUUUAACUUCAAGGUCAUUUAACAAGUUUGUAAAAAAGAUCACGAUGUCAAAGUACUUCAGAUGUCAUAUUACAUUAAAUGAUAAUUUAACUUUACAGUACAGGUGCAGACUGUUUACAGUCACAUUUUGGCAAUGAGUACUAACUUUACUUCAGAUAUAUUUACUCAUUUCAGACUGAGUUAUACCUCUUCUCCACUACAAGUCAAGAUCAAAUAGACUUUUAGUCGACUGCUACAUUUAUCACUUUAUCUUAAGGUGUGGGAGGUGAAAUCUCAGCAGGUACUGUGGCUCACCAUGAGAGUCUGAUACCUUUGACAAAAUUAUUUAUCCUUCAUGCUUAUCACAGUGCAGACAAGUAGAAUGAAGGCUUUAUUCAGGUUACAACAUCAUGGCCAGAUGUUGACGGGGGAUGUUGGCAUUGAUCCUAUCACGGUACAAUAAUUUGUGCAAUAACUUACAAUACAACAACCAUCUGCAGCUUGGAGUGUCUUCUGUGCAUGUAGUUUCUCAAACCAGAAGAAUGUUUGUUUCCACAUAUUUCCUACAUUAGAGCCAAAUCUAGUUCUAGGUCAGCUGGAAAAUAAAGAUUAUUUCCAAAGUGCAUUGUAUUAUUCUAUUGAGAUCAUUAUUCCAGACACAAACUUGAGAUUUACUUGUUGCUUUAAAUUAGCAAUUAAAUUUCCUUUUGGAAAUUUUAAAUCUGUGCUCCUUUUUGAUUUACUACAUUUCCUCUGCCAAAGAAACUCCCAAGUAUCUACACAUUGUGGCUCUAGCGGAGUGCUGGCUGUGUAAACACAAAUCAACUUGAAAAAUAUGUUCCAUCUUUUAAGUGUCUUUUUUGGCAUCCUAAAGAUGUUUAAAAAAAACAUUUUUUAGAAUUUUUAUAACAAAACCCACCCUUGUUUUGUCGAAUCAAGUUGACCUCAGGCACGGGUCACAGAAAUCUUUCCAAACAGAUGACAUUUGGGCUGACUAGCUACAUCCACCCACUAUAUAGAGAGCC
rnacentral:lncRNA from 1 species